UAGAAAUCGUCCGGUGGGUGAUCGAAGAUAUACUCAUGUGGGUAUGUCAGGUCGUGAAUAUGACCGUGAUCAUGACUGUGAUCAGCAUUAUCAUUAUCAUUAGAUUUUGAAUUUUUAAGGAAAACCGCCAACACAAAAAAAUAAGACACCAUCUUUUAAAAUUUUUACUUAAUACGAGUGAAAGUGAGGUGUCUGAUUUUUCAGUCUCUUAUGAUUAAUUAAAAUAAUUAAAUUUUUUAUUUACAAAUUAAUUUCACUUGAGUCUGAAUUUUUUUAACGAAUAUAAAAUUUUACGAGCACU